rnacentral:snRNA from 1 species
GUAUGUGAGCCUGCCCCCUAUUGGCCUCCAGCAAGAGUUCUGUUCUGGCUGGCUGGGUAGGUGACCCCUACGUUCCUCGCCACUCCAUAGGUGUCCCUUCCGAAGCUUCGUCCUGGGUCAAGGAGGACAACCUCCCUCGUGGAGAGGAACUUGCCGGUACCCUACUAAAACCUGCAAACUGCUCUCAAAAAUGGCUGACAACAGAGCAGAUGUGAGGUGUGAAAACAUGCAUUGUCGUUUCCGAAGAAACCAUCUUAUUUUCUCAUAUAUAAAAGGAAAAUAUACAAUGGU